AUCGUUCUUUGUGGAUUCAGAUAACACCCUUGGUGGAUUCCGAGGUUAUCAUUUCCGCGCUGCGUCAAUAUUGAUUUGGUUAAUUGCACACAGAACACCUGUAGUAUCGGCUGUUUUUAACUCAUUACCCUUGCACUUUCAUCGUUGCGAUCCGAGGACUCGUGUGUUGGACCCGUCCCUCUGAUGGUUGAGCCUAGGUUAUUGUGGGAGAAAGUCAAAUUUUACUGUGUAGUUUUUUUCCUUUUUUUGGUUAGUCCUUAUAUGAUUAUGUUUUGAUUGUUUAAUAGAGGGGCGCAUUCAAGGGGAUGUAACCCUGAAGUUGCGGUGCUAUUGUUUUCACAUAGUUUUAUGAUCUUUACCUGUUAGUGCAGCUAAUUCUCUGCCACUGUGAUUUUGGAGUAAAUCAAAGACUGAGUUCAUGUUUUCAUUGUAACUAUUUGAUUCCAGGUGGUCAUUGAUAUAACCAGAAUGUUUGCAUCUAUGUAAAGGCUAGUGACAAGUACUCAUUCAGUUCGUGAUGAUGCCUUCAGAAUCUUC